AUUGAACGCUAGCGGGAUGCCUUACACAUGCAAGUCGAACGGCAGCACGGACUUCGGUCUGGUGGCGAGUGGCGAACGGGUGAGUAAUGUAUCGGAACGUGCCCAGUAGCGGGGGAUAACUACGCGAAAGCGUAGCUAAUACCGCAUACGCCCUACGGGGGAAAGCAGGGGAUCUUCGGACCUUGCACUAUUGGAGCGGCCGAUAUCGGAUUAGCUAGUUGGUGGGGUAACGGCCUACCAAGGCGACGAUCCGUAGCUGGUUUGAGAGGACGACCAGCCACACUGGGGACUGAGACACGGCCCAGACUCCUACGGAGCAGCAGUGGGGAAUUUUGGACAAUGGGGAAACCCUGAUCCAGCCAUCCCGCGUGUGCGAUGAAGGCCUUCGGGUUGUAAAGCACUUUUGGCAGGAAAGAAACGUCGCGGGCUAAUACCCCG
rnacentral:rRNA from 1 species